UCGAACGCGGGGAUUUUCCCGACGCCGGGGGCGGAUGGCCACUGGGAAUUGUAAGGCGUCCACUGUUGGCCGGCAACAGGCGGUGGGAAAUUACACGAAUUUUGCAAUCUGAUAAGGCGAUUCCCGCUAUUAAUGUGGUUAACACGAUGCCGAUGAACACUUCGAUGGUUGGUGCUGGAAGCGCGUGUGUAAACAGUCCCAGAUUCUCUCUCUUUCGUGUACUACCUUGGAAAACCCGGAGGGUGGCUGCUUGUCUGAAUUCAGCAUCAGCCUUCAGGCUGGGAAUCAAUUCUAGCAUACUUCGAUUUACCUGCUUUCGGCACGAAUUCAAUUCUGGUUCUUUUGAAACUGACUGUUUAGGGUAUUUAAAUUAAAGCAACCGAAACUGAAUAUCCCCAGCUGACGCGUUUUCGCCACCUUUGGGCGCGUCGCCUGAAACCUCCCCUGUCCCUUCAGCCAUCACCUGCCUGGUGACGGUGGCAGUGAAGGAGUUAAAGCUUCAAUUCAAGGCAAUUCUACUGCGACCUCCAAAAGAAAGAUAAUAUCUAGAUUAAUGAAACCCUGUUUCAGAUUUGGGGAUACAGAGGAAACCAAGGCAGAGCCCCUGUUCUCCUGGACCUCAUUUCCAGUGUGUGUUUAACCAAGAUCUAGAAAGAAGACUUCCUGAGUCAGCUUUCCUGCUCCCACACUUAUUACCACAAGAGCCUGUGGCAAAGAACUAGACGUUUAGCCUGGCAAAUUUGCUGAUUCCAGACCUGAUAUGAGCCUUAUUCCCAUGGUAGUUGGAUUCCCAUCAGCAUGACAGAGUUGGGCAAGAGAAAUACAAUAAUCAUUUGAGAUCCCAUUCAGCCUCAUGG